rnacentral:rRNA from 1 species
AUUGAACGCUGGCGGCAUGCUUUACACAUGCAAGUCGAACGGUAACAGGCCUUUGGGUGCUGACGAGUGGCGAACGGGUGAGUAAUGCAUCGGAACGUGCCCAGAGGUGGGGGAUAACGCAGCGAAAGCUGUGCUAAUACCGCAUGUGAUCUGAGGAUGAAAGCGGGGGACCAGGCAGCAAUGUUUGGCCUCGCGCCUUUGGAGCGGCCGAUGUCAGAUUAGGUAGUUGGUGGGGUAAAGGCCUACCAAGCCGACGAUCUGUAGCUGGUCUGAGGGGACGACCAGCCACACUGGGACUGAGACACGGCCCAGACUCCUACGGGAGGCAGCAGUGGGGAAUUUUGGACAAUGGGCGCAAGCCUGAUCCAGCAAUGCCGCGUGCGGGAAGAAGGCCUUCGGGUUGUAAACCGCUUUUGUACGGAACGAAAAGGCUCUGGCUAAUACCUGGGGCUGAUGACGGUACCGUAAGAAUAAGCACCGGCUAACUACGUG